GAAGAAAAUACAACAGUUUUGAUCUUCAACAUAAAUGUUUCUUUGCUAUAUUCAAUUAUUUGUUGUUUUUAGUUUUCAAGUGAUAUUUGUUUUUAUGCUGUGCAGACUCUGUUUAAUCUGUAGUAUAUUAAAUUUCUCCUGUCGAUCUGUAUGUACUAUAUAUUGUCCCUGGUUUCCUUCUGUAGUUUCCUUUAAGAGAUGGAAUUGAAUUUGAAUUAGAUUUUCUUCCGAUAUAUCCCUAUUGUGUUUCAGGUUUGAAAUGUCUCAUAGAUCAGAAGAAAUGAAUCUAUUGGUAAGUCUGGAUCAGUUUUUGUUCCUAGUUCAGGUCAAAAUUCUGAUUCAACUAUAAUUUCUUUUAUCUAGCAGGGCAGAGUCAAAGUUAUAUUCGGUUUUAUAUGUAGUUUCUUUUUCUUUUGAUGUCAUUAAAUAGGACAAUUACGGCAAAUUGCCCGUGACCACCUUGAGAAAGUGUUUGUAGAACAGGAUCAAGCCUUGUUGAAAUCUGACUCCCAAAAGCUUGAUCUUAAGAUCGAAAGUGCUUGACCAGAGCGAGGCUCAGAAGAAAGAGCUCAAGAGAGAGCUUGAGAAUGAUCUUAAGCAGAUUGAGUUGCAACUGCAAAAAGUGAAUGAAAAGGCUGGCUUAGAGGCAAAGAAGGCUGAUGAACUGGUGUUAUGGUUGGGUGAAGAACGAAAGGUUGUAAUGAAUUAUCAGAGAAAUGGGAGAAAGAAAAUAAUAUACUUCACAGGAAAGUUACCGAGUUGGAGAAACAACUAGAGGUGAAAAAGAGCUACAUUGAUGAGUUGGAAGUUAAAACCAAUGAAAUAAAAGAAAAAUUAAUGAAGGAAAAGGAAGAUGAAUUGGAGGAUAUUGAAGCACUAACCAAGUACUUAUUGUCGAGGGGAAUAACAAGAAUGCUGAACUACAGGAGGCUCGUCAUGCGUUGAUUAUGGGAUUGAAGGAAUCAGCAAGCAACACUAUUGAAGAUAAUGGGAGAUCUUGAGAAACAGCCAUUUGUCGCUGCAACCAAGAGAAUCAACAAUUCUAGAAAAUAUAUAGAAAGAGAGCUGCUGAUAAUACGGCUAAAUUAUCACUGAUAAAGAUGGAAAGACACUGGAAGUUAUUGAAGAAGAUGAUGAAAAAUUGGACGACUUGAAGACAGAAUUUGGUGAUGAAGUUUUUGAAGCUGUGAAAACUGCCCUGGCUGAAUUGAACGAGUAUAAUCCAACUGGCAGAUAUCCAGUAAGCUUUGGAAUUUCAGGGAAAACAGGAAGGCGACGUUAGCAGAGGGUGUAUCCCAUCUACUGAACCAGAUGAAACCUAAUAAGCGGAGAAAUGUUCGUCCAACCUCUGGUUGGAAGCCAACUUAAAUGUUCUCCCUUUGCUGACCAUCAACUGCAUUUGAUAGGGACAUGCAGCUCUAAAGUCUGCAGUCUAAA